rnacentral:rRNA from 1 species
AGUAACGGCGAGUGAAGCGGCAACAGCUCAAAUUUGAAAUCUGGCGCCUCCGGCGUCCGAGUUGUAAUUUGUAGAGGAUGCUAUUGGGUUGCCACCGGUCUAAGUUCCUUGGAACAGGACGUCACAGAGGGUGAGAAUCCCGUAUGUGACCGGCCAGGCGCCCUCCGUAUAGCUCCUUCGACGAGUCGGGUUGUUUGGGAAUGCAGCCCUAAAUGGGAGGUAAAUUUCUUCUAAAGCUAAAUACCGGCCAGAGACCGAUAGCGCACAAGUAGAGUGAUCGAAAGAUGAAAAGCACUUUGGAAAGAGAGUUAAAAAGCACGUGAAAUUGUUGAAAGGGAAGCGCUUGCAAUCAGUCUCGACGGCGGCUGUUCGGCCUCUCUUCUGAGUGGUUUAUUCAGUCGCCGCCGGGCCAGCAUCAGUUUCGGCGGUCGGACAAAGGCGCGGGGAAUGUAGCUCCCUCGGGAGUGUUAUAGCCCCGCGUGCAAUACGGCCCGCCGGGACUGAGGUCCGCGCUCCGGCUAGGAUGCUGGCGAAAUGGUUGUAAGCGGCCCGUCUUGAAACACGGACCAAGGAGUCUAACAUCUACGCGAGUGUUUGGGUGUCAAACCCGUGCGCGCAAUGAAAGUGAACGGAGGUGGGAACCGCAAGGUGCACCAUCGACCGAUCCUGAUGUCUUCGGAUGGAUUUGAGUAAGAGCGUAGCUGUUGGGACCCGAAAGAUGGUGAACUAUGCCUGAAUA